UACGUAGGGGCUAGCGUUGUCCGGAUUUAUUGGGCGUAAAGAGCGUGUAGGCGGCCAGGUAGGUCUGCUGUGAAAACUCGAGGCUUAACCUCGAGAUGUCGGCGGAAACCAUCUGGCUAGAGUCCGGAAGAGGAGAGUGGAAUUCCUGGAUGUAGCGGUGAAAUGCGCAGAUAUCAGGAAGAACACCCGUGGCGAAGGCGGUCUCUG
rnacentral:rRNA from 1 species